rnacentral:lncRNA from 10 species
GAUGGCAGCCUUUAGUUCUUUCCCUCCUCAGAUUCAUGAGCUGCUUCUCACCUCUUAAAUCUGGUCUACCUAUAGUGACUUGCUUGACCAACAGAAUAUGCUAGGAGCAACAUUCUGGAACUUCCAAGGCUUGGUUGUAAGAAGCUUUGCAAUAUCUGCCUGGAUCUCUUAGAACCUUCAAUAUGGGACACUUGCUCUAGAAAUCAGCCACCAUCCUGUGAGAAGUCCAAGCCACAGAGUGAGGCCAGAAAUAGUUGCUGCAGUCAAGAGCCCCAGCUGAGCUCUCAGCCAACAUUCAGCAUCACUGCCAGCCAUGUGCGUGUUGGAGAGGGAAGGGAAAGAAGAUGCUUGUUGCUGUUCAUUACGGACAGGUUCCCCAAGAGUGACACCGUACUGUGGGUAUGUUUUGAGUUCUGGGAGAGUUUCAGGGCAUUUUAUAGCUGGGCCAACUUUCCCUGGGACUGAGAAGUAGGGCUUGGAAAUUAAGGCAGUCCUGGGGGAGGGAACAGCUGGUCAGUCUGCCCAUAAUCCUGCCCAGAAACCUGACAGCAAACAGCCCUGGAUUUGCUCAUUUGAAUGCUUUAGGGGAAUUUCCAAGAACCCUUCACCCUCUUAUGAGAAAAAGAAGGUAGGUCCGUGGUGCUAUUCUCCCCUUGCCUCCCGUGAGCUUGGGUCUGUGGUUAGGACAUCUGGGCACAGGAAGUAUUAACCUGUCUCCGCUUUCAGAUCUGAAUCCAGUCACCUGUCAAGGGGCCUGCCUUCCUCACUUUGAUGAAUUAAUUUACAGAGUUCUCCAUGGUGCAGUCUGAGGGUGUCAGGAGGGGGCGAGUCUAGAAGACUCCCUGCGGGAUCUCAGGGGUAUCGUUUUCCCCAGCUGUGACCCAGCAUAAACACCUCUAAAAUUGAAUGAACAGCA